UUUUUUGUGAAAAUGUUGGUUUGUGGGAUUCUCUCAUGCAUAGUUUUAAGAUUAAUACAUUGGUACUUAAUAUAGAAUAUAUUUCAUUGUCUCCUAAAUUUCAUGGUAAAAAGGAACCAAAAUGUCAACAACAUAUGUACCAUAAUAACAUUACUUUCACAGUACUAGAUUUAAUGGCAAUGAUUUAGACCCCUUAAGUUAUAUCAGCC
rnacentral:lncRNA from 1 species